rnacentral:lncRNA from 10 species
GUUUAAGUAAUUCAUACAGGUUACAAUCAAGUAAAUCAGGAAUGUUUAUAGUGAAAUACCAUGAAGACUGCCAGGAGAACAAUAGGCUUCCGAAUAGCUGCUUUGUGGCUAUAAGGGAAUAGAUGGCAGCAAAAAAUCACAGAAAAAAGAAACAACAAAACUUACUUUAUAUUUUAAAAUUUUAGCACACAAAACAAUGCUUUAUUUAAAAAUUCAAAACCUGAGAGCACAGGAAAUUGGACUCUUUUGACUCUCAAUCGCCAGGCCUACCACAUGGCCAUUGGCAAAGAAUUUGUCCAGAAUACUCUGUUUUUCCAGCUGGAGAGUCAGUCUACAGCCUCAGGUGACCCUGGCUGUACAGCAGAAAAAUGGAUAACUCACAAUAUUCUAGUUCUGUUCCACACUGGAGGCCUACCCAAGUAAACUGGCAGGUGCCAGAGCAAAUAGAAACAUCAGAUAUUGAUUCUGGAAACAUCCCAGAAUACUGACCUGGACCAAAGGGAACUUAGCAUUAUGGAUGUAAAUGAGGAAGGCAGCAACCUGUCAGAGGACUGCUAAGAGUUAGAGAGACCUGAAGAGAAAGACUUCCAAACCGGCCGAACCAGAUCUGAGUGUCUGUUGGACAAUGAUCUCAAUUUUUAAAGAACAGACCAUUAGGCACAAUCAGAAACUGACUUAGAUUUCUAUUUAUCUUACACUAAAAAAAGGCAAAAACAAAAACAAACCAAGCUUAAGCAAAUAAAAUGGAGUAUUUACAGCAGGCUGUGCUCUGCAGGAGAAUCAAGAAAGUCUAGGCCACCUAACUCCGCUGCAAAGCAUUCCUAGAAACACAUGUAAAAAUAGAUCUUCAUACAGCAGACUGUACCUUCUUGUAGGAAUGAGAUUGUAAUUUGGGGUUGGCUUCCUGAUCCAGGGUAUGACCAACAAUACAUUAUAAGGCAAAACUUCACAUAUGAAUUUCUACAAUUUUUAAAAUUAUAAAAGUGUGCUUCAAGUCCCUAUAAAAUGCACUUUACAUACUGAUUAUAUAAAAGCGAACAGGGCAUGGUGGCUCAUGCCUAUAACCCCAGCACUUUGGGAGGCUGAGGCGGAAGGAUCACUUGAGGCCAGGAGUUUAAGACCACCCUGAGCAAUACUGUAAGACCCCAUCUCUAUAAAAAAAAUCUAAAAGGUUAAGAUAGGCAUGGUGUUGUGCACCUGUAGUCCCAGCUACUCAAGAGGCUGAGUUGGGAGGACUAUUUGAGCCCAUGAGUUCAAGGUUACAGUGAACAAUGAUCAUGCUACUGUCCUUCAGCCUGAGCAACGGAGAGAGGCCCCCAUCUCAAAAAAUGAUAAUAGGCCAGGUGGAGUGGCUCAUGCUUAUAAU